rnacentral:rRNA from 1 species
GAUGAACGCUGGCGGCGUGCCUAACACAUGCAGGUCGAACGGAACUGAGAGAGUAGAUUUCUUCGGAAUGACACAUUCUUAUGUUUAGUGGCGGACGGGUGAGUAACGCGUGAGCAACCUACCAUUCACAGGGGAAUAACAGGAGGAAACUCUUGCUAAUACCGCAUAAUGUAUUAAGAAGGCAUCUUCUAAAUACCAAAGGAGCAAUCCGGUGAUUGAUGGGCUCGCGUCUGAUUAGAUAGUUGGUGAGGUAAAGGCUCACCAAGUCGACGAUCAGUAGCCGGACUGAGAGGUUGAACGGCCACAUUGGGACUGAGACACGGCCCAG